ensembl:lincRNA
GUAGCAGGGGGGGGGGCGCGCGGAGCGGGAGGGUCGGGGGGGGGCGCCCUCCCGGCGCCUGCCUGGCCCUCCCAGCAGCCGCAGCCUCACCUGACGUGAACAGCACGAUGGCUUUGAGGCAGCUGUACUCGGCCGAGUCGACGUGCAGCGCCUUGAGCUUCUCCACCUGCUCCUGGAAGAUGCGGAUGUGGUCCAUGAAGGCCACGACGCGGUCGGCGGACAUGGGCGAGGCGUGCAGGCCGGCGGCGAUCAGGGCGCGCUGGUGUCGGGCGGCCAGGUCCAGGGCCGGACGCAGCCAGCCAUUCAGGAAGGCAGCGCUGGAGAGCGGGAGGCAGCCAGCGAGGAGGAUCACACACUUUGCUCUUUUUGUUGUACCGGUGGCGCCGGGCUCUCGCUGCCUUCUUCUUUCGGGAGGUGACGGAGGGGGAGAAAAACACGAAAUAAUUCACGCCGGCGACGAAUUCACAGCGGAACAGAAAAAAUCAAAAUCAGAAGAAAAAGAAUUGCGCAAAAAAAAAAAAAAAAAAGCGAGAGAGACAUCCAAAGUAGGUCGAAUAAAUAAUCCUCUUCUUUUCCUCUUUCUUGCUCCUUCUUCUGCUUCUUCUGCUAUAACACACAGAGCUAGUUAAAAAAACCCUGGAGAUCGCCCAAAAAUGUUCUUUUUUUAGUAUUUUAAAUAAGUGCUCUUCAGCCGGGAACCAACACCCUCCCUCCAAAAAAAAUCAUAUAUGUAUAAAAUAACGAUAAGAAGAAUACGAAAGGGGUGCCUCCUCCUCCUCUCUCUCUCUCUCUCUUUUUUUUUUAAGUUUAGCCCUCACUCUUCUGCAGGAAUGGAGUAAAAGAGAGGAGGAGGGAGAAAAAGGAGAAAAAGAAGAAUACGGGGAAACAACUAAUAGAAUAUGUAAGAAAAGAGAAAGGGGAGAGAGGAGAGAGAAAGAGAGAUUGAGAGAGAGAGAGAGGCGGAGGAGAGAGAGAGAGGAGAGAGAGAGAGAGAGAAGAGAGAGAGACCCCAAAAUUGAAUGCGUUUAAACGGGAGGACUCGCAGAGCAGUGUUUCCGAAAGGGGGAUCUGUGCGAAUGUCUGUAUAUAGUGAACUUUGACACUACUAUUGAAACUGACACGUUUCUAUGGAGAUCGCUGCCUUAUAUGGAGCUCGUGUCAAGGAGCCAAGAGAAGGGCUGCUGGCAACUGAUAAUCAAAGGCGACUGACUGGUCAGAGCCCUGAAUCGGGGGGAGAGAAAAUGGGAGGCUAAGGUUAGCCAAGCCUCCCGCACGCCAUUGGUUGGAGAGCCCCUCCCCCCUCCUCUUUUUCUUUCUUUCUUUUUUUUUUCUUUCCCCUCCCUCUCAGCUACCUACUGACGGGGAUGGCGAGGGGAGGAGGAAAGAAAGUGUGUGUGGGGGGGGUGUGCUUCUGACAAGCGCAAUUUACAUUGAGAUCGCCCUGCGCUGCUAUUUACUCUGAGACCUGAUUAGUAUGGGUCGUCUAUGGUCACACACACACACACACACACGCACACACACACACAUACACCAACACCAGAGGGGGAAGGGACGGCGAGGGGAAGAAUGCCUUGCAAUGGGUAAAAAAAGAGAAUCAGGCAUUAUUUUGUUUUCUUCUGAAAAGUUUUUAAAUUUAGCUUUUAUGAGCAUGAAGACGAUCAUUGGAAAUGUUAGGAAAAUUUUAAAUGGGAAUUAAAACUCUUACCGUUCUAACGAGUCCUGAAAAAUAUUCUGGGUUUGUAUUGUUUUGUGUUUUCACAUACAAGCACAGCCCUAGAGUAGAUUCUGCUCAUUUUAUAUUCCUUUAAGAAACAAAGUAGGGACUUGCUGGCUUUUUUUCUCCCCCACCUUGAUCCAACGUAUAUUUUGGUUUUAAAAUGAAAGGUUCAAUUAUGACAAAAAGCACUCCUGGAAUUCGCAGAAAUUGCCCCCCAAAUCAGUCCGAAUCAAUGGUUCCUCUUCAUCCCAAAGGUGAUGUUUAAAAUAAACUCCCCCCCCGAUUUUUCCUUUUUUUCCUUCCCCUUUUUUAUAUCCUCAGGCUGUUUUAACCUCCAAAGAACGCUCCAAUAAUUGUUAAUAAAAGAGUAGUAAGUUCUCAUAUUGCUG